GAUGAACGCUAGCGGCAGGCCUAAUACAUGCCAGUCGAACGAGAUUAAGAGACUUUCUUCUUAUGAAAGUGGCGCACGGGUGCGUAACGCGUAUGCAACCUACCUUAAUCAGGGGGAUAGCCCGAAGAAAUUCGGAUUAAGACCGCAUAAAAACACAGGAUAGCAUUAUCCAAUGUUCAAAUAUUUAUAGGAUUAAGAUGGGCAUGCGUGUCAUUAGGUAGUUGGCGGGGUAACGGCCCACCAAGGCGACGAUGACUAGGGGAUCUGAGAGGAUGACCCCCAACACUGGUACUGAGACACGGACCAGAAUCCUGCGGGGGGCAGCAGUAAGGAAUAUAGGUCAAUGGAGGGAACUCUGAACCAGCCAUGCCGCGUGCAGGAAGACAGCCCUCUGGGUCGUAAACUGCUUUUAUUCGGGAAUAAACCUUUCUACGUGUAGGAAGCUGAAUGUACCGAAGGAAUAAGGAGCGGCUAACUCCGU
rnacentral:rRNA from 1 species